CCUACGGGAGGCAGCAGUGAGGAAUAUUGGUCAAUGGACGCAAGUCUGAACCAGCCAUGCCGCGUGCAGGAAGACGGCUCUAUGAGUUGUAAACUGCUUUUGUACGAGGGUAAACGCAGAUACGCGUAUCUGUCUGAAAGUAUCGUAAGAAUAAGGAUCGGCUAACUCCGUGCCAGCAGCCGCGGUAAUACGGAGGAUUCAAGCGUUAUCCGGAUUUAGUGGGUUUAAAGGGUGCGUAGGCGGUCGGAUAAGUUAGAGGUGAAAUCCCGAGGCUCAACUUCGGAAUUGCCUCUGAUACUGUUCGGCUAGAGAGUAGUUGCGGUAGGCGGAAUGUAUGGUGUAGCGGUGAAAUGCUUAGAGAUCAUACAGAACACCGAUUGCGAAGGCAGCUUACCAAGCUACUUCUGACGUUGAGGCACGAAAGCGUGGGGAGCAAACAGGAUUAGAUACCCCAGUAGUC
rnacentral:rRNA from 1 species